rnacentral:miRNA from 1 species
UGCCAAAGGAGAGCUGCCCUA